UUGAGACGCUGGCAGUCCUCUCAUAGCUUUCCUUCCAAGUUGGCCAGAAUUUAGGCCCCAUUUCCAAUUCCGCUUUUCUGCCUGCCGAAUAGGCAUAUCCCAUCUUUAUCAACCAAGAAAUAAGAUGCUGACAGGGAAAUCAAGCCUACUUCUUAGAACAAAUGAGUGGCUGAAUCCAGACAGCAUAUAUGCAAUCCCCACAUGAUCUCGAGCCACUUCGUUCCCAAUAGAAAUAUCAUUGUUUCCAUCGAUUCUUCACUAGAAAAGACCAGUGCUCACAAAAACGAACUACUCACCUUCCCUCCCAUCCCUCCACUCUUGGUGUCUAAAUCGGUGCUGGCCCGAGAGAAAGGCCCGGAGAGCAGCGUCGUUCUUGGGAACAAUAGGCAAGAACCUGUCUGGCUUCCGAUAGAAAUAUCAUUAAUUCCAUCGGAGUUUUUACUAAAUAAAAAGGUCCACCUCGGUCAGCUCGUGCUCACAAAAACGAAGUACUCACCUUCGCUACACUCUCGGUGUCUGAAUCGGUGCUGGACACGGACGGAGAGUGCAAGUUGAACACCAUUCUUGGGAAGGAUCAGCAAAAAUCUAUCUGGAUCGAUUCUGAAACUGACGGGAAUUUAGGAUCCACAGCAACGAAGGUGUAGCAGAUAUACGCGAGUUUCCAGAUUUGCGAGGUACGCGUUCAGAUUCUGAUGCAUCAAAAGGGACGGAAACUUCCUUGUUGAAAAAGACAAUUAAAACGAAAAAGAAAAGAAGUGUGCUUUUUGGAAGAAACUGCGGAAGCGGACAAACAGUCCGUCAACCUGGGCCGAAAUUUGUCACUCCUUACAGGC
rnacentral:lncRNA from 1 species